AGCACUGAAAUGCCUCACUGUGUCCUGUAGUCUGAUCCAGUCUGAUCAUGCACACAGUCUACAUUUUCUGUAUGGCUGUUCUAGGCUUAUGCAUACUAGUAAUGUGCAACCCAAUGCAAUCCCCAAAAAAUGCAGUGCAAACAGACAACCAAGAUCGAACAGAGACAAAGAUCAAUCGCUUGAUCGUAAAAUUUAGUAAUGGAAAGAGAAAAGCCACUUAUCAAGAUUCACAAGACAUUUAUUUGAGGAAAAAUAAAGACUGCUUUAUUAUAAGUAAUCUUAUUAUGUGCUUGGAUUCAAAUAAACAGCCUUACAUUUCAACAAACACCCAUAAACCGAACUUAUAUCCGAGGUACAGAAGAAGUCAGCAUGUUGACCCAUCUGAUCCUUUGGGCUCUGAGAAUCCAAAGUCAAGAAAGUCAAAUUAUCAAAGACAAAAUCAAGAGCGUGAGCGCAGCAGUAAUGUUUCUAAAGAGACCAUCACAUCUUGUGAUGACCCUUUACAUGUAUUGCUCUCCAAGAGUCCAGUCAGUCCAAAUUUGCAACAGGGGAAGAGAAAAAAGCAAGUUGCACCAUCUGAACUCUUCUGAACCAAAUCUGUUCAUGUGGAGAAUCUGUGACAUACGCAUGCCAUUAACGGACAUAUUAUUGGAAUGUUGCAAAAAAUCAUGUAUUAAGUGUCAAAGGCCUGAGCUUUUCACACAGCUGGAGCAUUUUUAUUAUUAUUUUAGUUUAUUAAUACAAAGUAUGCAGGCUGCUUUUAUUUAUCAUCUCUGUAUGGUUAAAAUAGAAUAGGUUACUGCAUGUUACUUUCACCUUGACAUCAGUUAAAAUUUAAACGGGAGGGCCAUUGCAAGCUGUGGCAAUGACUUAUUUUUAUCAGAACUGUGCUAAUCUUUUUUUCCCAUAGAUGAUGCAUAAAAUCAUCAAACACAAGAAAAAAUGCAGCAUGAAGUUAAAACAACUUGGUUUUGCAAGUCAAUUCAAGCUAUUAUUUUAAGUUUUGACUUGUGAUAUGUUGACAUAACUUAUAAAAAAAGUUGAAAUUGUUUAACUUAAUUUGUUAAGUUAAAGUAACACAAAUAUAUAUAUAUAUAUAUAUAUAUAUAUAUAUAUGUUGAUUUGACAUCAUUUUAACAAUGCUUUUGCAUAUUAGAUGUUUAAUGUACACUGAAAAAGUUGGAUCAACUUACUUAAAUUGGUAACACACAUACAAAAAACUGUAUAUGUUUAAGUGAAAAAACUUUAAAUGAACAAUAAAUGUGGAAAACAUUUUCAAGUGUUAUCAAUUUUGUAAAUCUUUAAGUUGAUCCAACUUUUCACUUUAUUACAGUGUAUGCAGUUUCAUUUAGUUAUAAAAAGCUGAAUAUCAGAUGCAAAGUCAUAUGAGAUGGCUGGCCACCUCUACUGAAUUAUUUAUUAACAACAAAUAUUCAUGCAUUUCUAUUUAUUAUAUUUUAUAUUGAUGUUGUAAU